GGCCCCAUCGUAUAGCGGCCUAGUACGCUGGCCUCUCACGCCGGUAACACGGGUUCGAAUCCCGUUGGGGUCACCA
rnacentral:tRNA from 1 species